rnacentral:lncRNA from 1 species
CAGAACCUUAUGUAUGCAAGACAUUAUCUCUUAUUUGAGGGAUGAAGUACUUUAUGAGGAUAAAAAGGCAACGUAAAAAUUGUGAAUAAGAGCUAUUAGAUACACGUUGCAAGGUGACAUCUUGUUCAAGUGAGGAAAUACACUCCCUCUGCUCAGAUUUAUAGGAGAAGACUAAGCCUUAUACAUAAUGAAGGAAAUCCAUGAAUGUGUAUGUAGCAAUUACGCUCGUAGACACUCUUUAGUGCAAAAAGCUUUAAAACGAGGAUAUCAUUCACCUAAUAUGAGAAAAGAUGCAACGAACUUUGCAAGGAAAUGUGAUAAGUGUCAAACAUUCGCAUUAAUUCCACGGCAAUCUAUAUAAGAGCUGUUAACCAGCAGUGGCCUCUGGUCAUUUGGAUUUAGAUAACUAGUGGGUUCGAAUUACUUGAUAUAAGCUUAAAUGCCGAAGCACUCAUCUAGUGGAGAAUCAUCAUGUGGAUAGAUUUUUACCAUUGCCGAUUAUGCCCUACAAAACUAGAGCUGGAAAACAAAUGUGUGAAUUGAGAGCAACCUUUGGAUUUACCACCUGGGGGAAGAAAAUGAACAGCUAUUUGAGGAUUGUAAAUCUCACGAGCAGAUAAGAGAAUAUUUGACCACAAAGAAUCGGGUUGGAGCCAAUUUAAUAAUUAUUUCGUCUUGACAACUUUUUCCUAACUUAGAUUAAUAUUGAAGGUGACUGCACACAAAUAUUAAUCGAACAUUGGAUAAGCUUAACUUCCU